AUUGAACGCUGGCGGCAGGCCUAACACAUGCAAGUCGAACGAGUGGCGGACGGGUGAGUAAUGUCUGGGAAACUGCCCGCUGGAGGGGGAUAACUACUGGAAACGGUAGCUAAUACCGCAUACCAUCGGAUCUGCCCAGAUCGGAUUAGCUAGUAGGUGGGGUAAAGGCUAACCAAGGCGACGAUCCCUAGCUGGUCUGAGAGGAUGACCAGCCACACUGGAACGGAGACACGGCACAGACUCCUACGGGAGGCAGCAGUGGGGAAUAUUGGACAAUGGGGGCAACCCUGAUGCAGCCAUGCCGCGUGUAUGAAGAAGGCCUUCGGGUUGUAAAGUACUUUCAGCGGGGAGGCGGUAUCAGCAGAAGAAGCACCGGCUAACUCCGUGCCAGCAGCCGCGGUAAUUC
rnacentral:rRNA from 1 species